UACGUAGGGUGCGAGCGUUGUCCGGAAUUAUUGGGCGUAAAGAGCUCGUAGGCGGUGUGUCACGUCGGCCGUGAAAACCUGGGGCUUAACUCUGGGCGUGCGGUCGAUACGGGGCAUCACUAGAGUUCGGCAGGGGAGACUGGAAUUCCUGGUGUAGCGGUGAAAUGCGCAGAUAUCAGGAGGAACACCGGUGGCGAAGGCAGGUCUCUGGGCAUUAACUGACGCUGAGGAGCGAAAGCAUGGGGGAGCGAACAGG
rnacentral:rRNA from 1 species